rnacentral:piRNA from 1 species
AACGUCGGAACAGACCAAGGCUGU